CCCCUCUCAAGAUUGCACCUGGAGAGUUUCCAGUACUCUGUCAGUUUCGGCUAUCGGAGGGAGACACAAGCAGAGGCCUUUCCAUUCCUAGCUUGGGCAGUGUCUAGAGAGUGGAAGGCAAUCUGCUACAAGA